GACGAACGCUGGCGGCGUGCCUAACACAUGCAAGUCGAACGGAAAGGCCCGGCUUUUGUGGGGUGGUCGAGGGGCGAACGGGUGAGUAACACGUGAGUAACCUGUCCCUGACUUUGGGAUAACUUCAGGAAACUGGGGCUCAUACCGGAUAGGAGCUCUUGCUGCAUGGUGGGGGUUGGAUAGUUUCGGCGGUUGGGGAUGGACUCGCGGCUUAUCAGCUUGUUGGUGGGGUAGUGGCUGACCAAGGCUUUGACCGGUAGCCGGCCUGAGAGGGUGACCGGCCACAUUGGGACUGAGAUACGGCCCAGACUCCUACGGGAGGCAGCAGUGGGGAAUAUUACACAAUGGGCGGAAGCCUGAUGCAGCAACGCCGCGUGCGGGAUGACGGCCUUCGGGUUGUGUACCGCUUUCGCCUGUGACGAGGCGUGAGUGACGGUAAUGGGUAAAGAAGCACCGGCUAACUACGUG
rnacentral:rRNA from 1 species